UCAGCUAUUAUAUUCAUCAUCAUUGCUUAGCCACCACCAAACAUACGAGCAUUUAUUCAAAGUGUUGCAAUAUAAUACUCCACAAAAAGGCGCAGAGUCAGCAGUAGAUAACAAUACUUAUAAGUAUAUUAAUAAGUUAGUUUGAUAAGAGACCUGGAAUAAAGAAGGCGUAACAACACCAUACAAAUACCCAAAAUACUUAACUGGCGCCCAACAAUGUAACAAAUAAAUAUAAAAUAAGUUUAUAAAAAACUUAAAACAUUAAGUGAAAACUUGGAAAGAAGGUAUGUCACCAGGCUUCGAAAUCAGUCUGGGCUGCGUAGAAAUAAGAAACACAAGAGGACAACAACGGCGACAACACCAUCAGCGGAGACGACACCCACAACAUAAAAUGGAGUCUCUAUUUAUACAAUUGUAAGAUAGUUGCUUAACUUCAAUUUCAUUUAAUUUCUUUAAAAAUGCAACCCUUUGCUCUUUUUCUUCAAUUUGUCAAAUACCAUUUUAUUCAGCUUUGAACUUUCGUUCAAUGUUACACAGAGCCGAAAAUACAAUGACUUUUUUAACCAUGUGCAUGGUUAAUUUUUUCAUGGUAAAUGUUUGAGAUUACAAACACAAAAUAACGUUAUAUAAGGUCAAAUGUUGUUGUUUUUUUGAGAGAGACGGAAAAAUGUGAGAGAUACAUAAAAAUUUAAAGAGCCUUCGGCUCUGUUGUGGUCAACAAUUUUGAACUGCUUUGUGUUUGACGAAGUUCAAUAUUACAAUAUACGAAGUUGCAACGAAUGUGACUGUCAUAUUCCCCCUCCUCCUCUUUAUCGAAUCUCUUUCUGUGGUCUGAAUAUGUGUACGAAAGAUCAAAUAGACAAUCACUUCUUUAGUUGGUGUUGAAUAGUGCAAGGGAGUAGUGCACGUGCUCGUGGGAAUAGUGCUUGGUAUAAAGAAAACCCUGAUACUAUUUCAACAUAGUAAUGUGUUAUUGCUAUAUUCAAAUUGUAUCAGAUUUGUCUAUCAAAUAAACUAUAAAUUACAAUAAAGAAACAAAAAUAACGGUAAUACAUGAAAAAAAACAAGCAACAACAACGUAUAUGCAGCGACAAGCAAAAAUGAGGAGAGAAAUAAUGUGUGAGUGUUUAUUCAUACAUAUGUGUUCUUUUUGUCUUUUCUUGUGGCUGCUACGACGUACAUUAGCGUAUGCAUUUGUCACCAAAUGUACGUUGUUGUUGUUGUUGAAGCGACAGUGUUCAUAUUUACGUAUAUCUUUUUGUUUUUUCUUCUCAGUUGUUUUUUUCUCUGGUGUCUUUUUUUUGGGUGCUCGUGCGUACAUUUUUAUCGGUGUUUGGCGUUUUGUAGUUUUUUUCACAAUGGCUGAGGAAUAUAAUUUAAAAUCACUCGGUAAGGCGUUAAAAAAUAAAAUUUAUAUUAAACAUAUAUCUUUCUUUACCAGCCCUCCCUUAAAUAUACAUACAAUUUGUAAUGGAAAUACAUAUUUUAGAAAUAUGCGGUAUUAAUAAAUAAAUAAUAAA